rnacentral:rRNA from 1 species
CGUAGGUGGCGAGCGUUGUCCGGAUUUUACUGGGCGUAAAAGGGGAGCGUAGGCGGACUUUUUAAGUGAGAUGUGAAAUACCCGGGGCUCAACUUGGGUGUUGCAUUUUCAAACUGGAAGUCUAGAGUGCAGGAGAGGAGAAUGGAAUUCCUAGUGUAGCGGUGAAAUGCGUAGAGAUUAGGAAGAACACCAGUGGCGAAGGCGAUUCUCUGGACUGUAACUGACGCUGAGGCUCGAAAGCGUGGGGAGCAAACAGGAUU